rnacentral:lncRNA from 1 species
AGAGAGAAGAGGGAUCUUCAGAAGUUAGCUGUUUCGAAAGUCAGUAUAGAAGUAGAAUUGUUAGCCAGUGGCCAUCUUGUGGCUUUGAUUUAUUUUUUUCAACCAAACCAUUUUCCCCAGAUUAGUCUUCAUCAGGAGUAGAUGACAUGAUUGGGUUAGAGCAUGAGUGAUGUGGAGAAAUCAGGAUGGGACAGGAUGAUACAGAGUCUGUGGGACAAACUGACAAUGGAGGUACAACUCAGACUUUGGGAGCAGAAGGCCACUGUCACCAGGACCACCUGCUUGAAAUCCACGGGAAGUGUUUUUAGUUCCUCCAUUAGCACACGUUCCCUCAACUGGUCCUGGUAUUGAUAACCAGGAGCUUAGAAGGACCUGUGCUAACCACUUGAUGCUGAUAUGUCUGUGUAGUUGGUGGGAUGGGCAGUUUUCGUGGCAGAAUGGGAUGUGCAGUAUGUGCCUUUCUCUUUUGAGUGCCAUGUGUGUUAGUGAGUCCCUGUCUGAUACUAGUGAUGAGGAAUGAAGAUGAUGGAUGGAGACAAAGAAAGGAUGGAUGUCAAGAGAUCAUUGGAGGGCUGGGCUUCUUCACUCAGCUCCUAGGCCUGCAUCCCGGGAACCUAGGCUGAGCCUCUGAAGAGGCAUCUCUAUCCACGAAGGAGGUUCUCAUUGCUCCACAACUCUACUUCUUAUUUGAGGGCAUCCUGCAGUCAAGGAUCUAUUAAGGGAAUGGAAAACUUAAACCUAAGCUUGUCUCAGAAGUGGGAGAAGACACAUUUGGAGCAAUGCCCCACACAUCCAAUCAAUGAUGCACAGAAUGGAAAGGCCAAGAUGAAUUUAGGGUGGCCAUGUGAACUUUGUUUUCUAAAGGACAAAAUCAAUAAAAAUCGCCCCACUCAAGGGAGAAGGCGCAGCUUGGGAGAAGCAAAUUUCUUUUCACUUUGUAAUGGUAAACAAACCAGGCGAAGAGCAGUAUCUGAUGUGGCUGAGCAGAGCCUGGUUUCCAGUUUCUCUUGAUGUGUCAAAUGCAUCCCUUAUGUGAAUCGGUUUAAAAAAUAUUUCUAUGCAGUGGGUUUGGGGAAUCAAUAAGCUUUUAUGAUGCUCUUCUUGCUUCACAUAAUUUCUGAUUUCAAAAGAAACCCUGUGUAUUCCUUUAAGAUGUUUAUAUAUUAUGUAUUUUCAAAAUUAACUGAUCUUCCAAGAGUUUCCCUAGCAUUGUUACAAGGUUUCUCUCUUUUUUUAAUCUUCCAAGCUUUUUGUUCUUUCUCUUUUCUUUCUUUCUUUCUUGUACAUAAUGCUAAUGACUUCGAAACUUACAUAUAAAUUGAAGCUGGAUUUAUAAAAUGCAAUUUAAAAAAACUCCUAGGGAAGGAAGAUAAAUAUAACAAGCCAUGAAACCAUGUCAGCCCCUUCCAACAUUGGAAAGACUACAGACAGGGACAUUAAUGAUCAGGAUGUGUGGUGUUUCCUAGGUUAGGGGCUUGGGCUCCCAGCAGGCAGCCUUAGGAUGGGCUGUCCUGCUUUCCUUGAUUUCUCCGAAAUUCAAAUCUAAUUGCAGAUUGGAAUCUAUCCAUCCGCUCAGUCUGUAAAAAUAAUUUUCCCUGAAUAUUUACCCAAAGAGCAUUAUUGCUUAUACAGUUGUGAAAAGCAUUUAGCACUUUAUAAUCCUCUAUUUGCUCCUAUGUGGGCCUGGGAGUAUACUCUCCUUACAGAAUUCACAAAUGCCUAGAAGGCUAACAAUUUUUACAAAGUGUUCCUCAUGGAAAACAUCUGGAACUUUUCCAGAAUGGCAUUCCAGAUGUUAUGGUUUUAGCAGUUACAAAAGUGCACUGGGCUGUGUGUGAGUGUGUGUGUGUGUGUGUGUGUGUGUGUGUGUGUGUGUGUGUGUGUGUGUGUGUGUGUGUGUGUUUCCUGGUUCUACAUAGUCCACUGCUUAUGCACACUGGGUACUCCUUGCUUUCCCUCUGGGACACUUUAGGUUUGAAUUGUUUAAUAUUCACUUCUGGACAACUCUGCUUUCAGGACAAUUACACAUCUGGAAAGAAGGGAAUCUGAUGGAGACUACUGUAACCAAAUAUGCACUGAGAAGGACUCUUUAAUUGGUAUUUUAAAAUUUACUUUUCCCCCAAAAUUUGAGUCAGAAAGAAGACUAAACACAGAAAGAGUGAAGCUUGGAUGCAUCGUGUAUGUGGGGAGACAACUCUGGUCUUUUCAUUCCCAAUUCAUACUUGAUAGAGGAGAAAUUAUUCCUUUACUUGCUCUAGCUACAGGGUAUGUGUAGAGCAAGGAACACAGUACCAGGGGAUGAACAGGUGGGACUUCGGUGAGUCUACUCCAAGGCUAUUGAAUGAUGCUUGAUGGACUAGAUGUCCGGGAAGGCAUAAGAUCCGAGUCAUAGCCCUAUAACCCAUCUUAUAUCCCUUCCCACCCUCUAGAUAUCAGUUUUAUACAUUGCUUAGGACAUCUGGGAGACAUCAGAGCUCAUAGAAAUUUAGACAAGAAGCUAGAACAAAUUCCUCCAGGUCUCUCAGGACAGGGACAUUGGGAAGGAAUAAGAAAGAAAAGGAGGAGAUGUGGAAAUCUCGUGGGCUACCAUGGAAGGACAAAAAUCCUCUAAGAUUCAGGGCCCUGAGCUUUUCUAGCCAUGAGCUGAUUCUGUCUUAGGGGAGACAGAUAGGGUCUCCUUAACAAACCAAAUAGAUACAUUGAGAACUUCCCCUGAGAUACAGUUCUAUAUUGAGCAUCACAUAGAACAAAACAGAUUUUAUUGUGUGAAUGGCUACUGGGGGGAAAGGGGAUGGCAUAGAAGGAAAACAGCUGCAGUAAAAACCAAGUGAGCAGUGAGUAUAUGGGGGGCUGAGUGCCCAUAGUGGGAAUGGGUCCAGAUGGCCGAGGGGAGGGGAAAGAGAGUGGGGGGUCAUGAGAAUACGUGCAGGGGUGUAAUCUACAAGAGGGGUGCAUAUUGCUUAGGGGAUGAGGUUGGUGUUUGAGGAAAAAAGUCAUACAAAGCAAGGGUUGGGAUGGGAGAGCAGUUUAGUGCUUGAUCUUUCACCUCAGCUGUCACCUAGUGCCUGCUCUGCUCCAGGGGCGGGUCUGAGGCGUACCGUGCUAUCACAUCUUGUGAAGACACAAAAGCCUC